rnacentral:rRNA from 1 species
UACGAAGGGGGCUAGCGUUGCUCGGAAUCACUGGGCGUAAAGCGCACGUAGGCGGCUUCUUAAGUCAGGGGUGAAAUCCUGGAGCUCAACUCCAGAACUGCCUUUGAUACUGAGGAGCUUGAGUCCGGGAGAGGUGAGUGGAACUGCGAGUGUAGAGGUGAAAUUCGUAGAUAUUCGGAGGAACACCAGUGGCGAAGGCGGCUCACUGGUCCAUUACUGACGCUGAGGAGCGAAAGCCAGGGGAGCAAACGGG